GACGGAGGGUGCUAGCGUUGUUCGGAAUUACGGGGCGUAAAGGGCGCGUCGGCGGCCUGGUCAGUCGGGUGUGAAAGCCCGGGGCUCAACCCCGGAACGGCACCCGAGACGGUCAGGCUGGAGACCGGGAGAGGAGGGUGGAAUAGCCAGUGUAGAGGUGAAAUUCGUAGAUAUUGGCUGGAACACCCGUGGCGAAAGCGGCUCUCUGGCCCGGUUCUGACGCUGAGGCGCGAAAGCGUGGGGAGCAAACAGG
rnacentral:rRNA from 1 species